rnacentral:rRNA from 1 species
UAACAAGGUCUCCGUUGGUGAACCAGCGGAGGGAUCAUUACCGAGUUUACAACUCCCAAACCCCUGUGAACAUACCAAUUGUUGCCUCGGCGGAUCAGCCCGCUCCCGGUAAAACGGGACGGCCCGCCAGAGGACCCCUAAACUCUGUUUCUAUAUGUAACUUCUGAGUAAAACCAUAAAUAAAUCAAAACUUUCAACAACGGAUCUCUUGGUUCUGGCAUCGAUGAAGAACGCAGCAAAAUGCGAUAAGUAAUGUGAAUUGCAGAAUUCAGUGAAUCAUCGAAUCUUUGAACGCACAUUGCGCCCGCCAGUAUUCUGGCGGGCAUGCCUGUUCGAGCGUCAUUUCAACCCUCAAGCCCCCGGGUUUGGUGUUGGGGAUCGGCGAGCCCUUGCGGCAAGCCGGCCCCGAAAUCUAGUGGCGGUCUCGCUGCAGCUUCCAUUGCGUAGUAGUAAAACCCUCGCAACUGGUACGCGGCGCGGCCAAGCCGUUAAACCCCCAACUUCUGAAUGUUGACCUCGGAUCAGGUAGGAAUACCCGCUGAACUUAAGCAUAUC